rnacentral:misc_RNA from 1 species
AAGUCGUGACAAGGUUUCCGUAGGUGAACCUGCGGAAGGAUCAUUAGUGAAUACAAACGCUUGGGUGUCUCUGCCUCCGAGCAAGCCCUUCGCACCCUUCACAUCCAUAACACCUGUGCACUGUAAGAUGGCUCCUCUUUUGGAGCUGUCUGCCCAUUUUUAUACUAUAUAUGUAACAAAUGUAAAUUAUUAUAACCUAAUAAA